UUGCUUGCUUCGUCGGCACAUAGACUAAAAUUGGAACAAUACAGAGAAAAUUAGCAUGGCCCCUGCACAAGGAUGACACGCAAAUUCAUGAAGCGUUCCAUAUUUCU
ensembl:snRNA Gm23614 predicted gene, 23614